GCCUGGCUGGCUCAGUUGGUAGAGCAUGUGACUCUCAAUCUCAGGGUCGUGAGUUCAAGCCCCAUGUUGGGCA
rnacentral:tRNA from 1 species